AGUUGAAAAGAACUUUGAAGAGAGAGUUCAAGAGUACGUGAAACCGUUCAGGGGUAAACCUGAGAAACCCGAAAGAUCGAAUGGGGAGAUUCAUCGUC
rnacentral:rRNA from 1 species